CUCAUAUAUAGAUCAGGACAAGCAAAUUUGAUUUCUAGCUUUCUAAUGUGGUAAAAAAAAUCAUAGAGGAAACUUCAUAUGCAAAUUUAAGUAACUGACAGAGAAUAUAUAUGGACACAAACUCUUGCUAUUAUAAUCAUAUUGUGACCUCAGCCACCCUUUGUAUAGCCCAAGUAAUGACUGUUUGAUAUUUAUUAUAAAGCAUAUUAAAUUCCUUGAUUAACUGAACCUUUCAUUCCUCUUUUUUGUUUCAU
rnacentral:lncRNA from 1 species